UACGGGAGGCAGCAGUGGGGAAUAUUGCACAAUGGGCGCAAGCCUGAUGCAGCCAUGCCGCGUGUAUGAAGAAGGCCUUCGGGUUGUAAAGUACUUUCAGUCGUGAGGAAGGUGUUAAGGUUAAUAACCUUAGCAAUUGACGUUAGCGACAGAAGAAGCACCGGCUAACUCCGUGCCAGCAGCCGCGGUAAUACGGAGGGUGCGAGCGUUAAUCGGAAUUACUGGGCGUAAAGGGCACGCAGGCGGUUAAUUAAGUUGGAUGUGAAAUCCCCGGGCUUAACCUGGGAAUGGCAUUCAAGACUGGUUAGCUAGAGUCUUGUAGAGGGGGUAGAAUUCCAUGUGUAGCGGUGAAAUGCGAAGAGAUGUGGAGGAAUACCGGUGGCGAAGGCGGCCCCUGGACAAAGACUGACGCUCAUGUGCGAAAGCGUGGGGAGCAAAC
rnacentral:rRNA from 1 species